ensembl:lncRNA
GUUUCGGUUGGUUCCUCUGAGAUCACAGAGCAGCCUGGCAACUCUCGCGAGAGCGGCUGACGUGAAGUAGGCGUUGCCCAGGCAACGGCUCUGCCUCCACACCCCCUGCCUAGAAAAAGCCUUGGAAAAGGAGAAGAGUCAGUGCAUGUGAAUCACGUGGGCUGUUCUGACGAGGUGAAAUGGUCAAGUCUGGGAUGUCACAUCUGCAAGGACACCCGUGCCCUCUCUUGGCAAAAUCUUGCAAGAUGGAAGCAGGAAGACUGAAGAAUGCUUCCAAUCUCUAGCCACUCCACUGAAAGCUGAAUGAACUUUUGCAUGGGGAGGUUUCUCUGGUGUAACUCCACAGUGCCAAGCAAUAAAAUAUGAGACACAGAUUUAGCUUUGCAGCUGUCCUUUUUUCCUUCAUUGAUUCCAGAAUACUGAGAACCUAG